rnacentral:rRNA from 1 species
AACUAACAAGGAUUCCCUUAGUAACGGCGAGUGAACCGGGAAAAGCUCAAAUUUGUAAUCUGGCUGUCUUCGAUAGUCCGAGUUGUAAUCUAUAGACGUGUUUUCCGUGCUGGACCGUAUCUAAGUCCCUUGGAACAGGGUAUCAAAGAGGGUGACAAUCCCGUGCUUGAUACGACCACCAGUGCUCUGUGAUACACGCUCUACGAGUCGAGUUGUUUGGGAAUGCAGCUCAAAAUGGGUGGUAAAUUCCAUCUAAAGCUAAAUAUUGGCGAGAGACCGAUAGCGAACAAGUACCGUGAGGGAAAGAUGAAAAGCACUUUGGAAAGAGAGUUAAACAGUACGUGAAAUUGUUGAAAGGGAAACGAUUGAAGUCAGUCGUGUUCUUUGGAUUCAGCUAGUUCUUCUAGUCUACUUCCUUUGAACGGGUCAACAUCAGUUUUGUCCGGUGGAUAAAGAUAGUAGGAAUGUAGCUCCCUCGGGAGUGUUAUAGACUAUUAUUGCAUGCACUGGGUGAGACUGAGGACUGCAGCUCGCCUUUUGGCCGGCCUUCGGGUACGUUCGAGCUUAGGAUGUUG